GACGAACGCUGGCGGCGUGCUUAACACAUGCAAGUCGAACGAUGAAGAAGAGAAACGCGAACUUCGGUUCAAAUUUCACUUCGGAUUAGUGGCAGACGGGUGAGUAACGCGUGAGCAACCUACCUCUUACAAAGGGAUAGCCUCGGGAAACCGUGAUUAAUACCAUAUGACACAUUCAUAAGGCAUCUUAAGAAUGUUAAAGCUACGGCGGUAAGAGAUGGGCUCGCGUCCCAUUAGCUAGUUGGUGAGGUAACGGCCCACCAAGGCGACGAUGGGUAACCGACCAGAAAGGGUGAGGGGGCGCAUGGGAAAAGUGACACGCACCGAAGGGAGACCGGAGGCAGCAGUGCGGGAUAAUGCACGAUGGAGUGAUUUCGGAAACAGCGACGCCGGGGGAAAGACUAGGGAUUUCGAUUCGGAGAACGCCGUUGUAAAAGACGACCCGGACGGAACCAAAGAAGAAAGACCCGGCUAAAUACGU
rnacentral:rRNA from 1 species